UACGUAGGGGGCAAGCGUUAUCCGGAUUUACUGGGUGUAAAGGGAGCGUAGACGGCGAUGCAAGCCAGAUGUGAAAGCCCGGGGCUCAACCCCGGGACUGCAUUUGGAACUGUGUGGCUGGAGUGUCGGAGAGGCAGGCGGAAUUCCUAGUGUAGCGGUGAAAUGCGUAGAUAUUAGGAGGAACACCAGUGGCGAAGGCGGCCUGCUGGACGAUGACUGACGUUGAGGCUCGAAAGCGUGGGGAGUAAACAGG
rnacentral:rRNA from 1 species